GUAGUCUCGCACAGACUGCAUAUCAAUAAGCGGAGGAAAAGAAACUAACAAGGAUUCCCUUAGUAACGGCGAGUGAAGCGGGAAGAGCUCAAAUUUGAAAUCUUCAAGGUUUUACCUUGACGAAUUGUAGUUUAAAGAAGUGUUUUCUGUUGAAGUUUUGGUAAAAGUUCUUUGGAAUAGGACAUCAUAGAGGGUGAGGAAUCCCGUAUUUGACCAUUAUUUUCAGCUGUGUGAUACACUUUCAAAGAGUCGGAUUGUUUGGGAAUGCAGUCCAAAAUGGGUGGUAAAUUUCAUCUAAAGCUAAAUAUUGGCGAGAGACCGAUAGCGAACAAGUACCGUGAGGGAAAGAUGAAAAGAACUUUGAAAAGAGAGUUAAACAGUACGUGAAAUUGUCAAAAGGGAAGCGUUUGACACCAGUGUUGUUUUCUCGAAAAUCAAUUAAAAAGAGUUUGAUUUUGUUGUGUAUUGACCUUAACAGCUUGCAUUUCAAUUUUCUUGCUUUUUUUAAUGCACUUUUCGUUUAACAAGUCAAUAUCAGUUUCUUUUGUUGUAAAAAGGUCAUUGGAAGGUGGCUUUCUUUUCGGAGAAAGUGUUUAUAGUCCUUUGACUCCUGCAAUCGGAGAGACUGAGGUCUGCAGCGUAGAUCCUUCGGGGUUAGAUACAUUUGUGCUAAGUUAUAGCUUUUUAUAGACAACUUGUUGACUAUGAUUAGUCUUGUAGCUUACUCGCUUAUGCUAUUUUACCUACGCUUAGGAUGUUGAGCGCAUGUCUCUCUCU
rnacentral:rRNA from 1 species